rnacentral:tRNA from 1 species
GAGCAUGUAACUUAAUGGAUAAAGUUUCAGAUUCCGAUUCUGAAUAAUGGGGGUUCAAUUCCCUUCAUGCUUA